CAUUCCAAAAGUGUGUAUAAUAUGUGAAGUUUUAUACAACAAGAUCAUACAGAGGGUACAAGAUAUGAAAUUGACAUGUUCAAACAACGAAGAUUAGAUAUAAUGAAAUCGGAUUUUAAUGGUUUCAAUUUUCAACCAUUAAGAGACGAGUAUUCAAAAUAAUAAUAAUAUAACGAUGAAUAGAGAGGUUGGAUGAUCACAAGAUUCGAUAUAGAGGUAAAAUGAGAGAAAGAAAAAAACCUUCUCAAAAACGGUGAAGACGACGGCAAGAUUCCGUCGAUAGCGAACCAAAAGGAAAUAACGGUCAAUGAGGAUCGCGGCGGAGGCGGCGACGGAUGAUGGCAACGAUCAGACGACGUCGCGCGCGCACGUGCGGAGCGGCCGGGGUCGUACUAUCGUAGAGAGGAGGGGGAUCGAGCGGGAGGGAGGUGGUCGAAUAAGGGAGAGAGAGAUAGUGGAUCGGGUGGGGGUAGGCUCGUAUCAAAAGAAAGGACUUAAUUAGUUAGGGA
rnacentral:lncRNA from 1 species